AAUGAACGCUGGCGGCAGGCCUAACACAUGCAAGUCGAACGAGUGGCGGACCGGUGAGUAAUGCCUGGGAAACUGCUUGAUGGUGGGGGAUAACUACUGGAAACGGUAGCUAAUACUGCAUACCCUCAGAUGUGCCCAUAUGGGAUUAGCUUGUUGGUGGGGUGACGGCUCACCAAGGCGACGAACCCUAGCGGGUCUGAGAGGAUGGCCGGCCCACUGUGAGCGUAGCCGCGUUCCAGGCGCCUACGGGAAGCAGCAAUGGGGGAUGUUGCACAGUGGGCGGAAGCCUGGUGCAACCAUGCCAAGUGUAGUGAGGAAGCCUUCGGGUUGUAAUGUACUUUCGGCGGGGGGGCGUUACCCGCAGAAGAAGCACCGGCUAACUCCGUGCCAGCAGCCGCGGUAAUAC
rnacentral:rRNA from 1 species